rnacentral:rRNA from 1 species
GUAGGUGGCAAGCGUUGUCCGGAAUUAUUGGGCGUAAGCGCGCGCAGGCGGUUCUUUAAGUCUGAUGUGAAAGCCCACGGCUCAACCGUGGAGGGUCAUUGGAAACUGGAGAACUUGAGUACAGAAGAGGAAAGCGGAAUUCCACGUGUAGCGGUGAAAUGCGUAGAGAUGUGGAGGAACACCAGUGGCGAAGGCGGCUUUCUGGUCUGUAACUGACGCUGAGGCGCGAAAGCGUGGGGGAGCAAACAGGAUUAGAUACCCUGGUAGUCCACGCCGUAAACGAUGAGUGCUAAGUGUUAGGGGGUUUCCGCCCCUUAGUGCUGCAGCUAACGCAUUAAGCACUCCGCCUGGGAGUACGGCCGCAAGGCUG